UAAAGUUAAGCAAUCUAUACGGUGAAACUGCGAAUGGCUCAUUAAAUCAGUUAUCGUUUAUUUGAUAGUACCUUACUACUUGGAUACCUGUGGUAAUUCUAGAGCUAAUACAUGCUAAAAACCUCGCCUUCGGAAGGGGUGUAUUUAUUAGAUAAAAAACCAAUGCCCUUCGGGGCUCCUUGGUGAUUCAUAAUAACUCAACGAAUCGCAUGGCCUUGCGCCGGCGAUGGUUCAUUCAAAUUUCUGCCCUAUCAACUUUCGAUGGUAGUAUAGAGGACUACCAUGGUUUCUACGGGUAACGGGGAAUUAGGGUUCUAUUCCGGAGAGGGAGCCUGAGAAACGUACGUACAAUAUUCCUUUUUUUUUUUUCGUAGUUAGGCAUAUCAAAAUCAAUGCUAACUUUUACCGUUAGGGCUACCACAUCCAAGGAAGGCAGCAGGCGCGCAAAUUACCCAAUCCCGACACGGGGAGGUAGUGACAAUAAAUACUGAUCCAGGGCUCUUUUGGGUCUUGGAAUUGGAAUGAGUACAAUUUAAAUCCCUUAACGAGGAACAAUUGGAGGGCAAGUCUGGUGCCAGCAGCCGCGGUAAUUCCAGCUCCAAUAGCGUAUAUUAAAGUUGUUGCAGUUAAAAAGCUCGUAGUUGAAACUUGGGUCUGGCUGACCGGUCCGCCUCACCGCGUGCACUGGCUUGGCCGGACCUUUCCUUCUGGGGAACCGCAUGGCCUUCAUUGGUCGUGUUGGGGAUCCAGGACUUUUACUUUGAAAAAAUUAGAGUGUUCAAAGCAGGCCUAUGCUCGAAUACAUUAGCAUGGAAUAAUAGAAUAGGACGUGUGGUUCUAUUUUGUUGGUUUCUAGGACCGCCGUAAUGAUUAAUAGGGAUAGUCGGGGGCAUCAGUAUUCAAUUGUCAGAGGUGAAAUUCUUGGAUUUAUUGAAGACUAACUACUGCGAAAGCAUUUGCCAAGGAUGUUUUCAUUAAUCAGUGAACGAAAGUUAGGGGAUCGAAGACGAUCAGAUACCGUCGUAGUCUUAACCAUAAACUAUGCCGACUGGGGAUCGGACGGUGUUAUUAUUUUGACCCGUUCGGCACCCUACGAGAAAUCAAAGUCUUUGGGUUCUGGUACGUAUUUUUUUUCAGUCUUAAAUUUUGCGAUUUUAUUAGAGUCAUAUGCUAACGUUUUACUUUUUAGGGGGGAGUAUGGUCGCAAGGCUGAAACUUAAAGACAUUGACGGAAGGGCACCACCAGGCGUGGAGCCUGCGGCUUAAUUUGACUCAACACGGGGAAACUCACCAGGUCCAGACACAAUAAGGAUUGACAGAUUGAGAGCUCUUUCUUGAUUUUGUGGGUGGUGGUGCAUGGCCGUUCUUAGUUGGUGGAGUGAUUUGUCUGCUUAAUUGCGAUAACGAACGAGACCUUAACCUGCUAAAUAGCCAGGUCAGCUUUGGCUGGCCGCCGGCUUCUUAGAGGGACUAUCGGCUCAAGCCGAUGGAAGUUUGAGGCAAUAACAGGUCUGUGAUGCCCUUAGAUGUUCUGGGCCGCACGCGCGCUACACUGACAGAGACAACGAGUUCAUCACCUUGGCCGGAAGGUCUGGGUAAUCUUGUUAAACUCUGUCGUGCUGGGGAUAGAGCAUUGCAAUUAUUGCUCUUCAACGAGGAAUGCCUAGUAAGCGCAAGUCAUCAGCUUGCGUUGAUUACGUCCCUGCCCUUUGUACACACCGCCCGUCGCUACUACCGAUUGAAUGGCUCAGUGAGGCCUUCGGACUGGCCCAGAGAGGUCGGCAACGACCACUCCGGGCCGGAAAGUUCGUCAAACUUGGUCAUUUAAAGAAUAAACGUGUGGUUCUAUUUUGUUGGUUCCUAGGACCGCCGUAUGUAAAUAGGGGAMGGGG
rnacentral:rRNA from 1 species